rnacentral:misc_RNA from 1 species
GAAAUGCGAUAAGUGAUGUGAAUUGCAGAAUUCAGUGAAUCAUCGAAUCUUUGAACGCACCUUGCGCUCCUUGGUAUUCCUUGGAGCAUGCCUGUUUGAGUAUCAUGAAAUCUUCAAAGUAAAUCUUUUGUUAACUCAAUUGGUUUCUACUUUGGUAUUGGAGGUCUUUGCAGCUUCACACCUGCUCCUCUUUGUUCAUUAGCUGGAUCUCAGUGUUAUGCUUGGUUCCACUCGGCGUGAUAAGUUAUCUAUCGCCGAGGACACUGUAAAAGGUGGCCAAGGUAAAUGCAGAUGAACCGCUUCUAAUAGUCCAUUGACUUGGACAAUACUUUUAUGAUCUGAUCUCAAAUCAGGUAGGACUACCCGCUGAACUUAAGC